GGAGCUGGAAAGGUGGAGGCGGAAGUGACUGAUCAAUUCAGGGGCGUGGGGUUCGUUUAGGUUUUGCCCUGUGUAUGACCUCGUUUGGAGCCAUGAAACCAGAGUUUCGCUCUUUUUGACCAAGCUGGAGUGCAAUGGCGUGAUCUCGGCUCGCUGCAAUCUCUGCCUUCCAGGUUCAAGUGAUUCUCCUGCCUCAGCCUUCUGAGUAGUUGGGAUUACAGGUGCGCACCACCACGCCCGUCUAAUUUUUUGUAUUUUUAGUAGAAAUGGUUUCACCAUGUUAGCCAGGCUGGUCUCGAACUCCUGACCUCAGGUAAUCUGCCCGCCUUGGUCUCCCAAAGUGCUGGGAUUACAGGUGUGAGCCACUGCACCCAGCCAAAUAUCAAUUGCAUUUCCAUGUGUGAAUAUAGGACAGAGAAGAUAGAUUAGGUGGAAUUUUAUCAGUGACACAUAUUAUACAUUGUUAUCAAGUAAAUAUUAUCAGUCGGCGUAUUAGCUGUUCUUUUCUUAUAAAAGUAGAUUGUGCCACAGAUACCUUAUUUUGUUAAUUCUUUUGAUUCUGGUCAUAGAUAAAUGGUGAUUUACUCUAUUCAAAGAAGGAUAGAAAAGUGGGCUUGCAUUUUAGGUUUCUUGUGGCAUACACUGGUGUGCAAUCUGCUAGAACUGAAGGAGGAUGUUAUUAAUCAAAAGGUGCACAAGGAGGGAAAGGACUUCAUUAUGCUGUUUUGCUUCCACAACUUGCACCUGGAGCUUCUUAAUGAAUGUGCCCUUUGGAGACAGGUGGCACUCUGAAAAGUGUAAGCCUCUUUAAACCUCUUCUUGUCUCAAAUUGACACGUCCUCGUCUCAAAUUGACACGUCCUCAUGACACUAUGAAUAAUCAAUCUAAUUCUUAAAUGAUGUGAAUGACUUUGGUUGGACUAUAAUUAGUUGAAGCAAUUUUUUCUCCUGGUCAUUAGAAGCACACAUUGCUAGAAUUAGGGAAAGAAAGAAAGUCAGGAAAUGGCUGGGAAAAAAAGUCAUGUAUUCCUUGAAAAAUACAAAUUUAUAGAUGAUAUUGUGUACUGGGUGAACAAAUCCAGUAGAUGGCAGUUUAGUAACAUACAAUAUCCUUCUAUCAUGGGGAAUUCAUGUUUAGCAGUCAUCUUUUCUUAGAAUAUAUAUGAAAAUAUAUAUCUUAAAUGUUAUCUGUUUAUUGCGAUAUUUUGUGGAAAAGUUAUCAUCUACCACCUCUAUGGGUGCUCUCUGCUGGCUAAGAGAAGCAAAGUUGUUAUAAACUUGUCAAAUAACAAACAAUAUAAGGUGUGUUGGAAUUUUCCAGGAUUUUUCCAUCAUAUUUUAUUACCUCCCAUUCAUUUGAAGCACAUAUAGAUAUCUAUGAUAUUUGAAGAAAUAAAGGAUUUGGCAAUGUUUUUUAAGAAAAAUAGCACUAUAACCAACAAUUGAUUCCUCUGAAAAGCUGGCUAUAAUUUUUAGCAUUUCAUGCAUAAUUUCUUUAAUUGUUAGCUAAGAUAUUUAGUAAGCUAAGAGAAUUAUGGAAAGGGAGCAGAGUAUAUAUAGAUUAUCAGAAUGAGAAGGUAAUAUAUCUGAGAAUUUUUGAAUGUUAAAAGGAGAAAAAAAGAGCCCAACCUUCCCUGAGAUAUAAACUCAAAGACUGCAUCACUUCUUACAUGGGAUUCAACAAAAAGUCCAGGCAUUAGGAAAAUUCUGAUUCCAGAACAGAAAGCUAGCAGUACGUUCUAAGAUAGAAGUAAACCAUUACACACAUUGCAUUGGUUUAAUUGAGCAUACAUUAUAUCCUUCAGUAAGAAAUUUCUGCCAUGGUGCACUAUUUUCUUGGGCACCAGGGCCUGACAGCUUUCUCACACAAGUCAGCAGUUGAAAGUGAUACAAUUUUGAUGUGAAAUGUGCUUAUACUUUGAAAGCAAUUAAACAAGCCUUGUUUGCUUAUAAUUUUCUAAUAAAAUAAAAGACCUUAUGUGGAAAGCAAUUUUAAAAACACAUCAUAACAUUUUAAGUAUGUAGGUCUUGCGACGUUUGUUCCCAUUUUCUAGUGACAGACACAGAGUAAUAAGAUUUCCCUAACAGAUGCUUAGUGCUGGGUACUCACAUGUCACUCAAGCUGACAAGGUUUCAGAAAAAAACACUUUCUUCACCAUGUUACCAUUUUGAAAGAUCAGCUAUUGCAUAUAAUUUAAUUUUGUUUAAUUGAAAGGUAUAAAAUUCACAAAAUACAGUUUAUAAAAGUUAAUGUAAUGAAUAAAUUGGGAAUAUACCUUAAACAACCCACUAGAUCCUAUCUACAAAUUUAGUCUGUCUCAGACAAGACUUUAAUCCUAUAUGCCUGGAGAAGAGUUUUAGCUCAGUUCACGAUAAGAUUAUAGAAUUUUAAAGCUGGGAAAAAUACGUGUAGAUAAUCUACUUCUUUCAAUGCCCAGUUUUAAUGAUUUACUUUUUAUAUAUACCUGAAAAAUUGGACUUAUACCUGAAAAAUUUGAACUUAAUUAAUAUACAGCAGGCACCAUUAAAGUUACAUAGAUUAUUUAUUCAAUCUUUCAACCAACAUUUAUCAAGCAUCUUACAUAUACUGACUAGUAUUUCCGAGGAACUGUAUUAUGGACUUUUAAUGCAAGAAUAAAUAGUUCACUAUCCUUGCCUCUGAGGAAGUGCUCAGAGUCUAGCUGGGAAGAUAGACAAGUAAAUUAAUAACUAUACUAUAGUGUGAUAAAGCCUAGACAGGUUUGUAUACAGCCCUGUGGGAAAACAGAUGAGGGUGCAACCUAUGUCACCUGGGGGUUUUGGGAAGAUAACAGAAAGGAAAUCACAUUCGAGCUGGGUCUUGGAGUUUGAGCAGGAAUUCUCGGGGAAAAGUAGGGGUGAGGAUUUAGUAAAGGAAAUAGACAUGAAGGCAGAAGAAUAUGUUCACAGAAUGACAUUUUUAAAUACAAGGAAUGGUGGGAAAUGAUGUAGAGUGGCCCUGGAAACGUAGUUCAGAGAAAGACUGCAAAAAUCAGAUGCUAGAGAGUUUGGCUAGAGAGUUAGGAAACAGGGAGCUACUAAAAAAAAUUGAAAAUGAAGAAAAAGGAUAUGAUCAGAUUUAUAUUUUUAAAAACAUUAUCUCUGGCAAUGGUGUGAAAGAUGGGUUAGACAAAGUCAAGAAUAGUCUGAUUGAAAUAUGUUCAGGUCUAUACUAGCACAGUGGAAGUGACAAUGGACAAACGCACGUAUUAAGGUACACUUUAGAAAUGGAAGUAACAAUUUGGCGAUCAGUUGCUUGGAAGAGGUGCGUGCUAAGGUAAAGGGAGAAGGUAAGAAUGGCUUCAAGAGAUCUAGUUGGUAUGAUUAGUUUUGAGGGUUUGGAUAAGCAUUUAUUUAAUCCUCUUCACAAGCUUUUGAAGAUUCUAACAGGUGAGAAAAAUGAAUCUCUGAAAAGUUAAGUAAUUUGCCAAGGUUACUGCUUUGGACUGAAUUGUGUGCCCCCAAAAUUCAUAUGUUGAAACCCUAACUCUCAAUGUAAUGACAUUUGGAGAUGGGGCUUUUAAGAGGUAAAUAGGUUUAGAUAAGUUCAUAAAGGUACUCAUGAUGGCACUAGUACCCUUAUAAGAAGAGACCAGAGAAGUAGCUCUGUGUGAGAACACAGCAAGAAGGCAGCUUCUGCAAGCCACAAAGAAGGCCCUCACCAGAAACUGAAUGUGGUGGAACUCUGAUCUUGGACUUCUUAGCCUCCAGAACUGAGAGAAAUCAAUGUCUGUUGUUUAAGUGACCCAACUUCUGGUAUUUUGUUACAGUAGCCUGAACAGUCUAGAAUUACCAUACAGUUAGUAAUUUAUGAAGGCCAGAUUUGAGCACAUUCUGUUUCAUUAAUUCCAGAAUCCAAGCUCUUAACCAGUGUGCUGGCUGUUUCUUUCUAUACUCAUGGAGUGGCCAGUAUGCCAUUUACUGGACUAGGAAAUAUGGGAGGAAAAAAACAUGUUUUGAAUAUCAGAUAAUCAGUUCGUUUCUUAACAUCUUGAGUUUUACAUAAGUGGUAGGCAAAACACUGGAGACAUUCAGAAGAGAAUUGUAAAUAAUAGUUCUGACGCUCAUAAAAGAAAUGGAGUCAGAAAGUUCAGCAGUAGGAGAUACCAGUAAUGAUCGAAGCCGUGGGAGUGGCUCACAUGGCCCAGAGAAGAGAUGUAGAGUGAGAAUGGCAGAGGACUGUGUAGAAAGCUUUCAGUGGCAGUGGAACGAAAGGGGUCGCUGGAGGAGACUGAAAAGGUGCACUCAGAUGACUUAAAGGAAAACUUCCUUUAGUUAAAGUACAACUUCCACGUAAGUCUGUGAAAUGGAGACUGACUUUUUCUCCCUUGAACAUGCAUUGGGGAGAAGGUUGAAACUGCAUAUUCUUAAUGGUUUACUAUUACUUUAAGAGCCUUUUCUUCACUGGAAAGCUGUCAUUCACAGCUUCUCUUUUUCUGAAGUUCACAAUCUCUUCCCAUUGGAUAUCACCAUAUUCCAUUCCACACAAAUUUUGUAAUUGUAGUAGGCCACAAGUCCACCUCCUUGAUGAUUCUACCACCCCACCUGAAUUCCUAGACUAUCCUUAAGCCAACUUCACUUCCAACAUGUUUCCGUGUGAAUCAGGGAACUGCUCCUUUUAUGAAAUAAGCCAUAAAAUUCUUAUGACUGAACCUCAUAGCUCUCUCUUUCUACCUUCCUCUAACUCAAUCCAUAUUUAAUGUAGUUCAAGUCAAUUAUUAAAUACUUAUUGUAUGUUGUGUGCUAGGACUUAGAAUACAGACUCACACAACAGACACAUAUAUGCGCACACAUAGUGUAAACAUACCCUAGCACUGAAACAUUGUUUCAUCUCACAGAAUAGGAAGGGAGCAGGUAUGUAAAAACAAUUUUGCAAUCCUAGUGUGAUAAGUAAAAUAAUACAGGUAUAUUAUAGAUGCAGUAGUAUGAUACAGUGGAAAGUUUGAACAGUUACACUUAAGUUGAAAAUGGGAGAGAUAUCAUUUAUCUAGAAAUGAAUAACUAAACCCUAAAACAUAGUGGCUUAAAAUGGAAAUGAUUCCUUAUUUCCCAUAAUUCUGUGGGUUGACUGGGCUCCACCUCCAUUCAUCUGGUGGUUGGGAUGAACAGGAAUGGCCAAGAAGAUCUCACUCAUAUGUCUGAGGUAUAGUUGCUAUAUGCAAUCUCUCCUCUCUAUGAUUUUCUGUCUGCAUGGUAUCUCAUACUCCAGGCAAGAUAGCCUGAACUUCUUCGCAAUAUGGCAGUUGGGUUAGGCUGGAACUGGAAUAGUGUCAGUUCUACAGCAUUCUGUUUGUUUGCCCAGAAUCAAGGGGUUUUUUGGUGGGAGUAAUGGCAUGACUGUAUAAGGGUGGAAGGAAAUUUUGGCGGCCAUUUUUUUUCAUACUAAGUACUACACGUGACUUUAAUAAGAAAGAUGCUUGAAGUGGGUCUUGAAAACUGAGAAGUUCAUUAGUGAAUAGAGGACAGGAAGUUUAGGAGAAGAAGAGGAGCCCUUUGAAAGAACAGCAGUAACAUGAAGACAGAAAGCAUCAUAUUUGGUCUGCCUGACAGGACAUACAGAAUGCCUGGAGGCAUUUGGGAAAAGGAAUUAGAAAUGAGCUUGAGAGGCAGGCAAGAUUAUAAACAGUCUUGUAUGUUUUAAGAAGUAAUGGCACUUUAUCAUCCAGGCUGCAGAAUACCCAGAGGGGUUUCAUUCAGGGGAAUGACUGCUCUUCACUCUCAUUGAUUCUUCUGUACUUUGUCAGUUUCGUAUGUUCUUGAUCAAUAAGACUUCUCUGGCUUCAUUUCCUUAUUCACUCCAGCUGACAAUCCAUGGUCAUUCAGUUAAACCUCUCUCUCACUGACGCUCUUAUUUCCCAACACUCUCACGACCUUCUUCUCAUUCCAUUAUUCCUAAUCCUCGAUUCUAGAAUAACCCAACCAUCUGUUUGUUCUGAUCCUGAAACCAGGCACUGAAUAAUCCUGGAGCAAAUCACAUAACCAUAUUGAUUGUCUGUCUGCCUUACACAUUUAUGAUUUCUGACAUCUGUUGGACUCUUAAUCUUUUUCUAGGAAAUCUUUACAGAUACUUACCUAUUUCCUAUGACGCUUUCUUUUUAAAAUUUUUACAGCUUUUUAUACUUUGUACUUAAUGCUGCACUCUUUAUUCUUUGCAGAUUACCUUCCCUACUUCACAGAGGAAAUAGUUGUUACAGUCAGGAAAAUUUUCCUUUAUAACUUCUUCCUGGAGUUCAUCUAUUCUUUUCAUUCUGGAUGAUCCUCUAUCUUUCCUUCCAGAUUCCUAUCAUUCUGGACUUAUUCUACUUCUCCUGCAACUCUAAAUUGAUUUACAGUUCUUAUCCAUCCUUAUUUUCUUUCCUCCUUCAACAUAGUCAUUCUUCCUUUUUUACCCCUUUCCUCUUGCCUUUGACCUCAAACCUUCUCCCUCUUGCAAGUUCUUGCUUUAAUAAUGAUCUCCUUUUUUACUUGCUUUUCCAUUCUCUUUCUACAACUUCCUCCUCAGCCAUGCUUCUACCACAAUCAGUAUUCUCUCAUUGUACCCCCUGCUUAUUGUUUAUUUUAUAUUUAUUCCUUGGUAACCUGAAGCUAGGCUUGUCUCGAUUGAACACCAGGCAAAGUUUUUGACAUAUAGUAUGAAAGUAAUAAAUAUGUAUUAAUGAUCAAUUUCUAAUUUCCAAUAUUAUAACCUCUUUUAAGUUCUCAUAUUAUAGUGAGAAGAUGGGGAAAAGGUCCCAGUUUAAGGUCCUGUCUUUGGAUCAGUGGGAGCUUGCUAAACCAUAGUUGCAACUGGACAUAAUGGCUGAGAUUCUGUAUUCUAUAGAUCUUUUCCAAAAUCAAUCUUAUUCCAUUUGCAUUUAGGUUUGUUGGAACCUGUACUGUAGCAGUUGGUAAAUAUAUUGAAUAUUACCAUUAUCUCUCUCUCUUUCCAUACAUAUAUGUAUGCGUGUGUGCACUCUGGAAAUUGUAUCAUUAUAUAAAAAUGAUUAUUAUUCCUGGUUGAAGUGUGGUGCCCAUUUAACACAUGAUAAUCACAGAUUUUUAGAGCAAAAACUCUUUCUCAUAUGCUAGACAGAUUUACAAAGGCAGAAAUCAUGGUUUCCUGGCAUAUAGAAGGUAACAAAUAUGUUUUUGUGGAAUGAAUGGAUGAAUGUUCUUUAUGUGUAACACAGGAAAAAAUUUCUAGAUGAGCAUAGAACAUAUUUAUGAAAUUUUAAAUCAAAUAUAAUAUCUAUAGUUAGGGCUUAGAAUGUUCAGACAUUGUAAGUGACUAUUGUACUACUGUUAUUGAAAGAAAAAAACACUCAUCAGUAUAGCAAUUCACAGAGCUUGUUUUUUCUUGUAAAUUUCAUUUGUUAAGAGCGUUGUUUUAGAUGCAGUCUCUCUAUAGAAACAUGUAUAAACUCAUGAGGAGUUUGAACAUAAAGUACUGCUAUAAAACUAGGUACUUAUUUUCCUUCAAUGUAUCUAACUUUUAUCUUACAGACUGUGAGCUCAUUUAAUAGCAUCAAGUGAAGGAGACUGGUAUAGCAUCCCCUCUGCUGCAUACCUUUGGGACUUUCCUGUAUAAUGUUGAUGCUCAGUCUCAGCCAACCUGACAAUAAAAUGAUCCACUUAUCCAACACAAGCAGGCAGAGGAGGAGAUACUACAUCUUUUCACGCUGCGUCCCACUCCCAGAGCCAGUCCAAUGCUUCCUUUGGGCUGAGCACACACACACAGAAACCCCUUCAUCAACAAUUUUUCAUGUUUUCUGUUAAAUUGGGUUUACUCUUCUUACGUGAAUUUUCCCCUAGAUACUUUUACCAAAUAACACAGAAAGUAUUUGAGGUGAACUAAAACUUUUUAAUAAUAAACUUUGUGGUUAUAAAACCCAAG
rnacentral:lncRNA from 1 species